rnacentral:rRNA from 1 species
GACGAACGCUGGCGGCGUGCCUAAUACAUGCAAGUCGAGCGAAGUUUUUCUGGUGCUUGCACCGGAAAAACUUAGCGGCGAACGGGUGAGUAACACGUAAAGAACCUGCCUCAUAGACUGGGACAACUAUUGGAAACGAUAGCUAAUACCGGAUAACAGCAUUAACUGCAUGGUUGAUGUUUGAAAGUUGGUUUUGCUAACACUAUGAGAUGGCUUUGCGGUGCAUUAGCUAGUUGGUGGGGUAAAGGCCUACCAAGGCGACGAUGCAUAGCCGACCUGAGAGGGUGAUCGGCCACACUGGGACUGAGGCACGGCCCAGACUCCUACAGGAGGCAGCAGUAGGGAAUCUUCCGCAAUGGGCGAAAGCCUGACGGAGCAACGCCGCGUGAGUGAAGAAGGAUUUCGGUUC